UACGGAGGGUGCAAGCAUUGAUCGGAAUUACUGGGCGUAAAGGGCGCGUAGGCGGUUAGGAAAGUCAGAUGUGAAAUUCCGGGGCUCAACCCCGGAGCUGCAUUUGAAACUCCCUGGCUAGAGUUCAGUUAGGGUAAACGGAAUUCCACGUGUAGCGGUGAAAUGCGUAGAUAUGUGGAAGAACACCGGUGGUGAAGACGGUUUACUGGGCUGAAACUGACGCUGAGGCGCGAAAGCAUGGGGAGCAAACAGG
rnacentral:rRNA from 1 species